CCCCUUUCAGGGUCACACCUGGAGAGUUUUCAGUACUCCACCAGUCUCAACUACAGGAGGGAGAGUCAAGCAGAGACCUAUCCAUUCCAUUUCUAGCUUGGGCAGUGGCUAGCAAGUGGAAGGCAAUCUUCUACAAGU
rnacentral:snoRNA from 1 species